rnacentral:rRNA from 1 species
CCUACGGUAGACUGCAGUGAGGAAUAUUGGUCAAUGGGCGCGAGCCUGAACCAGCCAAGUCGCGUGAGGGAAGACGGUCCUAUGGAUUGUAAACCUCUUUUGUCGGGGAGCAAAAGACGCCACGCGUGGCGUUCCGAGAGUACCCGAAGAAAAAGCAUCGGCUAACUCCGUGCCAGCAGCCGCGGUAAUCCGGAGGAUGCGAGCGUUAUCCGGAUUUAUUGGGUUUAAAGGGUGCGCAGGCGGAAGAUCAAGUCAGCGGUAAAAUUGAGAGGCUCAACCUCUUCGAGCCGUUGAAACUGGUUUUCUUGAGUGAGUGAGAAGUAGGCGGAAUGCGUGGUGUAGCGGUGAAAUGCAUAGAUAUCACGCAGAACUCCGAUUGCGAAGGCAGCAUACCGGCGCUCAACUGACGCUCAUGCACGAAAGUGUGGGUAUCGAACAGGAUUAGAUACCCCUGUAGUC